rnacentral:rRNA from 1 species
UGGUGACUAUACCGGUGGGGUUCACCUCUUCCCAUUCCGAACAGAGAAGUUAAGCCCACCAGGGCCGAUGGUAUUAGGUUAAAACCUGAGAGAGUAGGUCGUUGCCA